UACAGAGGUCUCAAGCGUUGUUCGGAUUCAUUGGGCGUAAAGGGUGCGUAGGUGGCGCCGUAAGUCGGAUGUGAAAUCUCGGGGCUCAACCCUGAAACUGCAUUCGAUACUGCGGUGCUAGAGGACUCUAGAGGAAACUGGAAUUCACGGUGUAGCAGUGAAAUGCGUAGAUAUCGUGAGGAAGACCAGUGGCGAAGGCGGGUUUCUGGAGAGUUCCUGACGCUGAGGCACGAAGGCCAGGGGAGCAAACGGG
rnacentral:rRNA from 1 species